CUUGGUCAUUUAGAGGAAGUAAAAGUCGUAACAAGGUCUCCGUUGGUGAACCAGCGGAGGGAUCAUUGCUGGAACGCGCCCCUGGCGCACCCAGAAACCCUUUGUGAACUUAUACCUUACUGUUGCCUCGGCGCAGGCCGUCCCCUGUGGGGUCCCUCUGGAGACAGAGGAGCAGCCGGCCGGUGGCCAAAUUAACUCUGUUUUUACACUGAAACUCUGAGUACAAAACAUAAAUGAAUCAAAACUUUCAACAACGGAUCUCUUGGUUCUGGCAUCGAUGAAGAACGCAGCGAAAUGCGAUAAGUAAUGUGAAUUGCAGAAUUCAGUGAAUCAUCGAAUCUUUGAACGCACAUUGCGCCCUCUGGUAUUCCGGAGGGCAUGCCUGUUCGAGCGUCAUUUCAACCCUCAAGCCUGGCUUGGUGUUGGGGCACUGCUUUUUCCGAAGAGCAGGCCCUGAAAUAUAGUGGCGAGCUCGCCAGGACUCCGAGCGUAGUAGUUAAACCCUCGCUCUGGAAGGCCUGGCGGUGCCCUGCCGUUAAACCCCAACUUUUGAAAAUUUGACCUCGGAUCAGGUAGGAAUACCCGCUGAACUUAAGCAUAUCAAUAAGCGGAGGA
rnacentral:rRNA from 1 species